rnacentral:lncRNA from 1 species
GACAAAGUCUUCUAUAGUGUCAUUCCUUUUGAUAACGAAACAAUAGAUAUUUUUAUUUUCAAUUUUGAUCUAGACUUAUCCUUACUACUAGAACCUCUGUAUUUACUCCUAUCUUUAGCAAUCAUGUCUUCUCCUUGACUCUCCUUUACAACUCCAAGGCAUCUUUUUUUUUUGAACUCUUUAGAUUGUAAGUCAUCUUUUACAUUACUAAUAAAAAGAGAUUCUCCACUACACAAUAUGGUAUUGAUGAAUUUCUCAUAAGAUGGUAGUAAUGAGCAUAAUAAAAUAAGAGCCUAAUCUUUAUCAUUAAUUUGAAUACUAAUAUUUUUUAAAAUCUAAAAUAACUUUAUUGAAUUUAUCUACAUGAUCUUUUAUGGGCAUACAUUCUUUUAUAUACAGAUGGU